ensembl:lncRNA
AUGUCUGCAGAUAAACCUAAGGUAUACCAGGGUGUGCGUGUGAAGACCACUGUUAAGGAGUUACUGCAGAAGCACAGAGCCCUGCAGGCACAGAAAACUGCAACGAAAUCACAAGCCGUGGCUGCUCGCGAUGUCUGCUCUACGACCAUGAAUACCCACCUUGAUGUCUUUGGAAUGCAAGCUCCAGAACCCUAUUUCCAGACACGUCCCUUUACCGAAAAUGUCAACAUCCCGAUGGAGAAUGUUUAUGAUCAUCAACAGAUGAUGCAUAUGAUGCCACCUGAGACUUUCAGCGGCAGUAAUUUCGUGUGUCCCACAUCUGCGCAGUGGUCUAAUGGAUAUCUACCUUCUAAUACGGACCUCUAUGGUACUAGCCUGGUUUCGAGGUCACCCUCAGACUCCUUCAAUCUCCCCAGUCCCGUCGACUACAACAGUUACUCUCCCCCUCAGUCCAACUCUUCAUCCUCUUCGUGCUACAACUCCCCAACACGGAUGGAUUUGAGCUCCAGUUUCUCUCCAGAAAAUUACCACUAUCAGCAUUGCAACCUACAGCAUUGCUUUUGUCUGUCGCACUGGUCCAAUGUGCAGGAAGGCAUGGCAACCUCAGAGUUUGCGCCCUACGGCUCAUCAGACUGUUUGUAUUCAUAUGGCGACGACAGCUAUUUCAGAAGGGAUACUUCAAACUCAGACAUGUGUUACUUAUAAAAUGCAGUUUGAAGCACUUUGCGCGAAAAUCCAGUGUCAUAAUUGAUUCAUUCGAAUGCAUUUGUUGUACUUUAGUUUAGAUAAAAGAACAAGCAGUGAUAGAAUGCAUGAUUGGGCUUAGUUUAGCAGUUUAAGCAAAAAGGUUGAUUGCAGAGAGCUAAAUAUGUGUGAGUAUAAUUUACAAAUUAUUCAUUUAUCUUUUUUUACAAUAAACAUAUUUUUCGUAAUUUUCCUGGUAUCUUU